UACGUAGGGUGCGAGCGUUAAUCGGAAUUACUGGGCGUAAAGCGUGCGCAGGCGGUUUUGUAAGCCAGAUGUGAAAUCCCCGGGCUUAACCUGGGAAUGGCAUUUGGGACUGCAAGGCUUGAGUGCGGCAGAGGAGACUGGAAUUCCUGGUGUAGCAGUGAAAUGCGUAGAUAUCCGGAGGAACACCAGUGGCGAAGGCGACUUCCUGGCCUGUUCUUGACGCUGAGGCGCGAAAGCUGGGGGAGCAAACGGG
rnacentral:rRNA from 1 species